GCCUAGGAAAUUGCCCUGAUGUGGGGGAUAACCAUUGGAAACGAUGGCUAAUACCGCAUAACGCCUACGGGCCAAAGAGGGGGACCUUCGGGCCUCUCGCGUCAGGAUAUGCCUAGGUGGGAUUAGCUAGUUGGUGAGGUAAGGGCUCACCAAGGCGACGAUCCCUAGCUGGUCUGAGAGGAUGAUCAGCCACACUGGAACUGAGACACGGUCCAGACUCCUACGGGAGGCAGCAGUGGGGAAUAUUGCACAAUGGGCGCAAGCCUGAUGCAGCCAUGCCGCGUGUGUGAAGAAGGCCUUCGGGUUGUAAAGCACUUUCAGUCGUGAGGAAGGUAGUGUAGUUAAUAGCUGCAUUAUUUGACGUUAGCGACAGAAGAAGCACCGGCUAACUCCGUGCCAGCAGCCGCGGUAAUACGGAGGGUGCGAGCGUUAAUCGGAAUUACUGGGCGUAAAGCGCAUGCAGGUGGUUUGUUAAGUCAGAUGUGAAAGCCCGGGGCUCAACCUCGGAAUUGCAUUUGAAACUGGCAGACUAGAGUACUGUAGAGGGGGGUAGAAUUUCAGGUGUAGCGGUGAAAUGCGUAGAGAUCUGAAGGAAUACCGGUGGCGAAGGCGGCCCCCUGGACAGAUACUGACACUCAGAUGCGAAAGCGUGGGGAGCAAACAGGAUUAGAUACCCUGGUAGUCCACGCCGUAAACGAUGUCUACUUGGAGGUUGUGGCCUUGAGCCGUGGCUUUCGGAGCUAACGCGUUAAGUAGACCGCCUGGGGAGUACGGUCGCAAGAUUAAAACUCAAAUGAAUUGACGGGGGCCCGCACAAGCGGUGGAGCAUGUGGUUUAAUUCGAUGCAACGCGAAGAACCUUACCUACUCUUGACAUCCAGAGAACUUUCCAGAGAUGGAUUGGUGCCUUCGGGAACUCUGAGACAGGUGCUGCAUGGCUGUCGUCAGCUCGUGUUGUGAAAUGUUGGGUUAAGUCCCGCAACGAGCGCAACCCUUAUCCUUGUUUGCCAGCGAGUAAUGUCGGGAACUCCAGGGAGACUGCCGGUGAUAAACCGGAGGAAGGUGGGGACGACGUCAAGUCAUCAUGGCCCUUACGAGUAGGGCUACACACGUGCUACAAUGGCGCAUACAGAGGGCGGCCAACUUGCGAGAGUGAGCGAAUCCCAAAAAGUGCGUCGUAGUCCGGAUCGGAGUCUGCAACUCGACUCCGUGAAGUCGGAAUCGCUAGUAA
rnacentral:rRNA from 1 species